CUGCGGAAGGAUCAUUCACGCCAAUUAUUCUUCUUGCUAGAGAUUUCGGUCUCUAGCAGAAACCAAAAACUAAAAAAAAAUAAAAAAAUAAAAAAUUUUCAACGGUGGAUAUCUUGGUUCCCAUAUCGAGGAAGAACGCAGCUAACUGCGAUAAGCAAUGCGAAUUGCAGAAUCCGCGAGUCAUCAGAUUUUCGAACGCAGCCGGCGCCACGGGUCAAUUACCGGUGGCAAGUUUGCUUCAGUCUUAUUGAUUAUCACAAAUCAAAGUGUGAUUGAACCUUCGGGUUCUUUCAUUAAACUUGAAUACGACAUAUUUCAAUCCAACGAAGCAGUCACAGUCUCUGACUUGUGAUUUCGGUGGCUCUUGGACUAUGACCAGUAUAGAGACGCUAGUCUUUCAAAAUAAUCAUAAGCUGAAGUCAAGCUGGACUACCCGCUGAACUUAAGCAUAU
rnacentral:rRNA from 1 species